rnacentral:rRNA from 1 species
GACGAACGCUGGCGGCGUGCCUAAUACAUGCAAGUGGGACGCAAGGGAACACACUGUGCUUGCACACCGUGUUUUCUUGAGUCGCGAACGGGUGAGUAACGCGUAGGUAACCUGCCUAUUAGCGGGGGAUAACUAUUGGAAACGAUAGCUAAUACCGCAUAAUAUUAAUUAUUGCAUGAUAAUUGAUUGAAAGAUGCAAGCGCAUCACUAGUAGAUGGACCUGCGUUGUAUUAGCUAGUUGGUAAGGUAAGAGCUUACCAAGGCGACGAUACAUAGCCGACCUGAGAGGGUGAUCGGCCACACUGGGACUGAGACACGGCCCAGACUCCUACGGGAGGCAGCAGUAGGGAAUCUUCGGCAAUGGACGAAAGUCUGACCGAGCAACGCCGCGUGAGUGAAGAAGGUUUUCGGAUCGUAAAGCUCUGUUGUAAGUCAAGAACGUGUGUGAGAGUGGAAAGUUCACACAGUGACGGAGCUACCAGAAAGGAC